rnacentral:SRP_RNA from 1 species
GCCAGGCGUGGUGGUGCGCGCCUGUAGUCCCAGCUACUUGGGAGGCUGAGGUGGGAGGAUCGCUUGAACCCGGGAGGUGGAGGUUGCAGUGAGCCAAGAUCGUGCCACUGCACUCCAGCCUGGGUAACAGAGGGAGAUUCCAUUUCAA